rnacentral:rRNA from 1 species
CACCGAGCGGAACUCGAAGCCUGUCUCAGUUCGGAUCGGAGUCUGCAACCCGACUCCGUGAAGCUGGAUUCGCUAGUAAUCGCGCAUCAGCCAUGGCGCGGUGAAUACGUUCCCGGGCCUUGUACACACCGCCCGUCAAGCCAUGGAAGCCGGGAGUGCCUGAAGUAUGCAACCGCAAGGAGCGUCCUAAGGUAAAACCGGUGACUGGGGCUAAGUCGUAACAAGGUAUC